rnacentral:rRNA from 1 species
UACGAAGGGGGCGAGCGUUGUUCGGAUUUAUUGGGCGUAAAGAGCGUGUAGGCGGCCAGGUAGGUCCGGUGUGAAAACUCGAGGCUUAACCUCGAGAUGUCAUCGGAAACCAUCUGGCUAGAGUCCGGAAGAGGAGAGUGGAAUUCCUGGUGUAGCGGUGAAAUGCGCAGAUAUCAGGAAGAACACCAAUGGCGAAGGCAGCUCUCUGGGACGGUACUGACGCUGAGACGCGAAAGCGUGGGGAGCGAACAGG